CUCUGUUGCAAGUGGGGGUGCAGAGAGUGGCAGGGCUCCCCCUUCUCUUGCUCCAAACAGAAAAGUUUUAUUUGGCCCCAAGCUUCCUAUAAAUUUUCACCUCUAGGAAGACUUCAGCAGAAGAAAAAUGUCUGCAAACCAGUGCCCUGUGGAAUUAGAAACAAAUAUGAGAAGCUGAGUGAGCUUGGGCAAGCACGUGAAACCACAUCUUAUCUUUCUGAAUCCAACCUGAGAAUCUGAAGCCAUUUCUGUGGUGGCAGAGCUCCAUCCAUGAUGCAACAGAAAUUUGAGGUCUAAAUUGGUGUGAUAUUUUAACCAGAGGGAGAAAUUCAACUGACAAGACUUAUGCAAAAGACAAGUAACAGAAGUGUUUAGGUGGAGAAGUAUAACCUGAAGAGAAGAUUCUUACUCCUUUUGUUAAAAAAAAGGACACAACUGACUACAUGCCUCCAGAGAAAACUCCUGAUUCUCCUAAAAGAAAAUAAUUUUUCUAUAGAGAGAUGGGGCAUUUGGCAAGACUCCCAGAAUACUCACCCCACUACCUGGAGAAGAAGAAUAAGAGUCUGGGCUGUACAGCCUUCAUUGAAUUUAAAGGUCAGUGACAUACUGUCGUCCUUUUGCAGUUGAGGACUCAGCUCUGAAAUCACUCCUGCAAGAAUUUUCUCAUUUUUAAAACCUCCUUUAUGUAAAA
rnacentral:lncRNA from 1 species